ACUCAUUCAUGAAAAAGUUUGUUUGUUCAAAAUCGAAUUGUGAGAACAUGCCCGAAUAAUUCGAAAUCGAAUCACAGAUGUACGUGAAACGUAUCUGAUGGUUCUGAUGGUAUAUAUAAUUUGAAAUUUAGGAAAAACCCCAUUCAAGGAGUAUAUGCAACGGGUUUCCCGAAGUGUUUCCAAUUGUGGAAAUUAUACAAAAAAGGAGGGAUCUUUCAAAAAAGGAAGAAAGCAAUUGAUUUUAAUUGCUACACCACAUCAAAUUUUAAUAGGGGGAUACCCUGUAUAAACAAAAAUACUUUUAUUAUGCGUCAUGAUGUUGGACUUCCUUGGAUCCCCCAUGUAUGUCUGCAACGUUUAAUGCUGUAUAAAGUCUAAAUUCGACUUUGUCCACUACGCCCCCAAUCAUACUAUGAGGUUAAGUAGAGUUCAAAACAGAGUCCAUGUGGUUGAUUUUGUUGUGAAGCACAAGAUUCCCAAAACACCGCUCUCAUUGUGUGAUAAUAUCAGUUACAGCAUCUUUGCGACCGAAGUAGACUAGCGACAUAACUGUAAUAUUUGAAUUGGGACGGUAGCCUGGUAGGUUGACGUGGGUGGUUUGAUCUACUCACUCAAUCGACCGCUGUGUGAACCGGUGGUUUGAACCGCAAAACCGGACGAUCGAUUUUCACUUCCUAUCGCCCAACCCGUAUCAGGAAUUACACUUUGAAAUAUAAGACCUCGUUAGUUCUUCGCUCGCACAAUUUUCGAAUUUUGAGAGUUGUCGUUUGUAAGGGGGUGACAGUUAGUUAACGGAAAAACAGAUUUCAACAGAUUUUUUACAGAAAUAAUGAGCAUUAGUGUUUUCAAAUCGUAUUUCUGAGCUCAUUUCUGUGUCACUGACUUAAAUUCUUUAUCUUGAAGCUUUUCGAAAAUUGAGCUCCUAAAUCAUUUCAUUAGUAGGCAUUUUAUCAGCUGCAGAUAUGGAACUCAUAUCAAUAUUUUUAGAAGGUUUAUUUCGUGAACUUUCUAUCCAGCAAUUGUGAACAAAUAGUCAAUUAGCAAAACCAACUUCAAUAAAUAUCCAGCAUAACGAGAUCAAGUGAUAUUUCUUAUCGAUAAAGGAUGUAGGUUUAUUGAGAUAACAUUAUAAACAAUUGUUAAUGAAGUCAUAUAAGAGGGAUGUACCAUUGAAAAAUUGUUGCUUAUUGUAUGAUGAAAAAUGGUAAAUCUGAGAAUCUUCAUGAAAAUUAUGUUCAGAUUAAAAAUAAGUCUAUUAUUUUUGAUGGUUUUGCAGAUAUAGCUAGUAAAAU